GACGAACGCUGGCGGCGUGCUUAACACAUGCAAGUCGAACGGAAAGGCCCUGCUUUUGUGGGGUGCUCGAGUGGCGAACGGGUGAGUAACACGUGAGUAACCUGCCCUUGACUUUGGGAUAACUUCAGGAAACUGGGGCUAAUACCGGAUAGGAGCUCCUGCUGCAUGGUGGGGGUUGGAAAGUUUCGGCGGUUGGGGAUGGACUCGCGGCUUAUCAGCGUGUUGGUGGGGUAGUGGCUUACCAAGGCUUUGACGGGUAGCCGGCCUGGGAGGGUGACCGGCCACAUUGGGACUGAGAUACGGCCCAGACUCCUACGGGAGGCAACAGUGGGGAGUAUUGCACAAUGGGCGGAAGCCUGAUGCGGCAACGCCGCGUGCGGGAUGACGGCCUUCGGGUUGUAAACCGCUUUCGCCUGUGACGAAGCGUGAGUGACGGUAAUGGGUAAAGAAGCACCGGCUAACUACGUG
rnacentral:rRNA from 1 species